rnacentral:ncRNA from 24 species
CUUUUGCAUCAAGAGCGCCCCGCUUUUAGCGGGACCGGCAACCGAAAACUACGGUGCCAGCUCCGGGAAGGAAGAUGUGAUCUGCAGAAAUGCGGAUAAAGUUAUGGCUCCCG